AGAGUUUGAUCAUGGCUCAGAUUGAACGCUGGCGGCAUGCUUAAUACAUGCAAGUCGAACGGUAACAGAUUCUUCGGAAUGCUGACGAGUGGCGGACGGGUGAGUAAUACAUAGGAAUCUGCCCAUGUAGUGGGGGACAACUUGGGGAAACUCAAGCUAAUACCGCAUAAUUCCUACGGGAUAAAGAGGGCCACUGCUUGCAAGCUCUUGCUACUGGAUGAGCCUAUGUCGGAUUAGUUAGUUGGUAAGGUAAUGGCUUACCAAGACAGCGAUCCGUAGCUGGUUUGAGAGGAUGAUCAGCCACACUGGGACUGAGACACGGCCCAGACUCCUACGGGAGGCAGCAGUAGGGAGUAUUGGACAAUGGGCGCAAGUCUGAUCCAGCAAUGCCGCGUGUGUGAAGAAGGCCUGCGGGUUGUAAAGCACUUUCAAUUGGGAAGAAAGAUUAUGAGUUAAUACCUUAUAAUAUUGACG
rnacentral:rRNA from 1 species